UACAGAGGUCUCAAGCGUUGUUCGGAUUCAUUGGGCGUAAAGGGUGCGUAGGUGGCGCUGUAAGUCGGGUGUGAAAUUUCGGAGCUUAACUCCGAAACUGCAUUCGAUACUGCGGUGCUUGAGGACUGGAGAGGAGACUGGAAUUCAUGGUGUAGCAGUGAAAUGCGUAGAGAUCAUGAGGAAGACCAGUGGCGAAGGCGGGUCUCUGGACAGUUCCUGACACUGACGCUGAGGAGCGAAAGCCAGGGGAGCAAACGGG
rnacentral:rRNA from 1 species